CCUACGGUAGGCUGCAGUGAGGAAUAUUGGUCAAUGGACGAGAGUCUGAACCAGCCAAGUAGCGUGAAGGAUGACUGCCCUAUGGGUUGUAAACUUCUUUUAUAAAGGAAUAAAACGAGGCACGUGUGCCUUUUUGCAUGUACUUUAUGAAUAAGGAUCGGCUAACUCCGUGCCAGCAGCCGCGGUAAUACGGAGGAUCCGAGCGUUAUCCGGAUUUAUUGGGUUUAAAGGGAGCGUAGAUGGGUUGUUAAGUCAGUUGUGAAAGUUUGCGGCUCAACCGUAAAAUUGCAAUUGAUACUGGCAGUCUUGAGUACAGUAGAGGUAAGCGGAAGUCGUGGUGUAGCGGUGAAAUGCUUAGAUAUCACGAAGAACCCCGAUUGCGAAGGCAGCUUACUAAACUGUGACUGACAUUGAUGCUCGAAAGUGUGGGUAUCAAACAGGAUUAGAUACCCCUGUAGUC
rnacentral:rRNA from 1 species